rnacentral:rRNA from 1 species
CUCAGUUCGGAUUGCAGGCUGCAACUCGCCUGUAUGAAGUCGGAAUUGCUAGUAAUCGUGGAUCAGCAUGCCACGGUGAAUACGUUCCCGGGCCUUGUACACACCGCCCGUCACACCAUGAGAGCCGGGAACACCCGAAGUCCGUAGUCUAACCUAUAUGGAGGACGCGGCCGAAGGUGGGUUUGGUAAUUGGGGUGAAGUCGUAACAAGGUAAC